GCCCGGGGGGCAGCAGUGGGGAAUAUUGGGCAAUGGGCGCAAGCCUGACCCAGCAACGCCGCGUGAAGGAAGAAGGCUUUCGGGUUGUAAACUUCUUUUCUCAGGGACGAAGCAAGUGACGGUACCUGAGGAAUAAGCCACGGCUAACUACGUGCCAGCAGCCGCGGUAAUACGUAGGUGGCAAGCGUUAUCCGGAUUUACUGGGUGUAAAGGGCGUGUAGGCGGGACUGCAAGUCAGAUGUGAAAACCAUGGGCUCAACCUGUGGCCUGCAUUUGAAACUGUUUUUCUUGAGUCCUGGAAGGGG
rnacentral:rRNA from 1 species